GUGACAGCCCUGUACGCGAAAGCGGCCUGCCAAUCGUUGGAGUACCCGAGUACCGCAGGGCACGUGAAACCCGGCGGGAAUCUGGGAGGACCAUCUCCCAAGGCUAAAUACUACCCGAUGACCGAUAGUGCACUAGUACCGUGAGGGAAAGGUGAAAAGAACCCCGGCAAGGGGAGUGAAAUAGUACCUGAAACCGCGCGUCUACAAGCAGUGGAAGCACUAUGCCCGCAAGGGAAUGUGCGACCGCGUACCUUUUGCAUAAUGGGGCCUGCGAGUUACGAUCAGUCGCUAGGUUAAGCCGUGAGGUGUAGCCGUAGCGAAAGCGAGUCCAAAUAGGGCGAUUCAGUGGCUGGUCGUAGACCCGAAACCUAGUGAUCUACCCAUGGCCAGGUUGAAGGGAGGGUAACACCUUCUGGAGGACCGAACCCACUAACGUUGAAAAGUUAGGGGAUGAGCUGUGGGUGGGAGUGAAAGGCUAAUCAAACUGGGAGAUAGCUGGUUCUCCGCG
rnacentral:rRNA from 1 species